rnacentral:rRNA from 1 species
AGAGUUUGAUCCUGGCUCAGGAUGAACGCUAGCGGCAGGCUUAACACAUGCAAGUCGAGGGGUAGAGGAAGCUUGCUUCCUUGAGACCGGCGCACGGGUGCGUAACGCGUAUGCAAUCUACCUUAUACAGGGGGAUAGCCCAGAGAAAUUUGGAUUAAUACCCCAUAGUAUAAUUGAAUGGCAUCAUUUAAUUAUUAAAGUUCCAACGGUAUAAGAUGAGCAUGCGUCCCAUUAGCUAGUUGGUGUGGUAACGGCACACCAAGGCGACGAUGGUAGGGGUCCUGAGAGGGAGAUCCCCCACACUGGUACUGAGACACGGACCAGACUCCUACGGGAGGCAGCAGUGAGGAAUAUUGGUCAAUGGGCGCAAGCCUGAACCAGCCAUGCCGCGUGCAGGAUGACGGUCCUAUGGAUUGUAAACUGCUUUUGUACAGGAAGAAACACUCCCUCGUGAGGGAGCUUGACGGUACUGUAAGAAUAAGGAUCGGCUAACUCCGUG